rnacentral:lncRNA from 1 species
GUAUACAUGUAUCAAUCCAAAAAAUAUCCAGAAGCAGCAAUUCGUCCCCCCACCUUCCAGCUCCACUUAUCACCAGGAUAAGGCCAAUCUUCAGGCGCAUAUGGAAGACCUUCACCCGAAUCAUAAAGAGAAACAGGUUAGAGGGGCAUGCCAUUUUCCUUCAGCCCAAAAGAGCUGCCUUUAGUCACACUAGUACUGUCAAUGUCCAUAGACUCGCACGUUGACAGGUCAA